AUGCAGUCGAACGCGAAAGUUCCCUUCGGGGAAUGAUUAGAGUGGCGUCCGGGUGAGUAACACGUGGGUAAUCUACCUUCGGGUGGGGAAUAACAGUCGGAAACGACUGCUAAUACCGCAUAAUGCAGCGGCACCUAAUGGUGACAGUUGUUAAAGCGGGGGAUCGCAAGACCUCGCGCCUGAAGAGGAGCCCGCGGCGGAUUAGCUAGUUGGUAGGGUAACGGCCUACCAAGGCUUCGAUCCGUAGCCGGCCUGAGAGGGCGGUCGGCCACACUGGCACUGACAUACGGGCCAGACUCCUACGGGAGGCAGCAGUCGGGAAUUUUGGGCAAUGGGCGAAAGCCUGACCCAGCAACGCCGCGUGAAGGAUGAAGCUUUUCGGAGUGUAAACUUCACAAGAAUGGGAAGAAUAAGUGGGGGAUAAUACCCCCCAUGAUGACGGUACCAUUUGUAAGCUCCGGCUAACUCCGUGCCAGCAGCCGCGGUAAUACNGGGGGAGCAAGCGUUGUUCGGAUUUACUGGGCGUAAAGGGCGCGUAGGCGGCGUAACAAGUCACUUGUGAAAUCUCCGGGCUUAACUCGGAGCGGCCAAGUGAUACUGUUGUGCUAGAGUGCGGAAGGGGC
rnacentral:rRNA from 1 species